GCCUGCGGCCACACCGUCCUGCCUCCGCCCGAUCCCGUCCGAUCUCGGAAGCUAAGCAGGACCGGGCCUGGUUAGUACUUGGACGGGAGACCGCCUGGGAAUACCAGGUGCUGUAGGCU
rnacentral:rRNA from 1 species